GAUAGGAGGGGCAGGCGGUCGCGUCCUCGCUGCCGCCACCAGGCAGCAGGAUGAGGAAAGUCCGGGCUUUCAGAAGAACACACCGCUGGGGAAAGCCCAGUGCGGGAAACCGCGAGGAUAGUGCCACAGAAACAUACCGCCGAUGGCUGGGAUCCCAGCACAGGUAAGGGUGCAAAGGUGGGGUAAGAGCCCACCAGCAGCGUCGUGAGGCGCUGGCUCGGUAAACCCCGGUGGAAAGCAAGGCCGCAGCCGCAGGACUAUGGCUGUUCUUCGCCCCUGUCGGCUGCACCGAGGUCACGGUACUCAGCCAAGCGGUUGGGGGAGGGUGGUCUCGGUGGUGGUGAGCCGCUAGAGGGUGAUGGCAACAUCACUCCCAGAGAGAUGACCGCCAGUGCGGGCUGCUCCUUGGAGCACCCCACUACAGAACCCGGCUUACAACCUCCUCAUCUCUU
rnacentral:RNase_P_RNA from 5 species